rnacentral:rRNA from 1 species
UACGUAUGGUGCGAACGUUGUUCGGAAUCACUGGGCAUAAAGAGCACGUAGGCGGUUGAGCAAGUCCAUUGUGAAAUCCCCCGGCCUAACCGAGGAACUGCAUUGGAUACUACUUGACUUGAGUGCAGGAGGGGAGAGUGGAAUUCCAGGUGGAGCGGUGAAAUGCGUAGAGAUCGGGAGGAACACCUGUGGCGAAGGCGGCCCCCUGGGCCGGCCCUGACACUGAGACGCGAAGGCGUGGGGAGCGAACGGG